GAACCAAGUUCUCUGAAGAAUGCUGCCGAUAUGGAACCGAGAACAGUGAUAACAUCAACGAAAAUAUUCUUGCCAAAGCUGCAGCUAUUUAUGGUGAUGGCCGUAAACAUGUAGAGAAGGAGCAAGAUGAUUAUAUUAUGCUGUAUCCCAACAAGUCAUGGAUCCCUUGAGAGCAAUGACCGUUGGUGCUCCUUUGGAAGAUGCUCGUCAUCUUGCUCAACGCUAGAGUCGAAUGAGGCAGGAAUCAGAGGCCCUGGCAGCAGAGAUUUCUAGAAGACAAGCACGAAUAAGAGAAGCUCCAAUAACAGAAAACGGCGCAAAGUUGCAUGCUGCUGAAGCGAAGAUGCAGGAACUUAAAGCAAAUAUGGCAGUUCUGGGUAAAGAAGCUUCUACUGCAUU